CCGGCACACAAAGCUUCUUCCAAAAGCCGCAAAACAAUGAAUGCGGGCGAUCAGAGCACAGCUCCUGUUAUGAAACCGCUCUGUCACAAGACAAGCGCCUCACAGGAAUGCUGUUGUGACACAUGUGUGGUGUUGACACAAGGGUUAAAUAUUUACCCGCUUGCUCACUCACUCACACACACGCACACUUUGACUGCCAAAAAAGGGCGGGAGGUUUAACCGCUGCACCACCAGUUUGUAUUUAUCUUUCCCCUUUGGCUGGCUGCGUCCUCCGCCACCUCCCAACAGACGUCAAGUUUAUCAAAAUCCUCUCUGCUCUCUAAAUGCAGCCAGGUGCAGCACAGCGUAAUGAUUCACCCAGCAGACGCAGCACUCCACAGCAGACUGCCUCGUAUGUUUGGAGCUCUGCAGAGGUCACAGGGUGCGCAUGUGUGUGUUGGAUGUCAUGUGGUGCAGCUCUCUGGCUUGGUGCUGGUGCAGAGAGUUCAGCAGGAGUUCAGCACUGAUUCAUAAUUCGUGUGUUUCUGUGCACCAAACGAUGGCACGGCGAAGAGGUUUCUCUCUGACAACGCUCAAAUGCUGUUCCCCCUGUUUUCACUCAGUUAGUUGUUGUUUUUUUCUUUUUUUCCCUUUUGUGUCAGCUUUCUCGUGUUUAGACGUGACCACGUGCCAAGCGCGGGGAGCCAGUCGAUGCCCUCGGUUUAAUGUGUGUUGGCUUUUCUUUGAAAAAUCCCUGCUUAACAAUUCGAGGAAAGCCGAGCCACCUGGAAAUCUCAUGACUUCCUGAAUCUAAUUCCAGGCUGAGCGAUCAGACUGUCUGACUAGCAGCUUUCAUUGAGGGGUGUAAACACUGAAUGUCAGGCAUGUUUCCCAGAGCCAGAGUUGAAUCAGGCAUUAUUGCUCAUGUACUGCCUGUAGUGAACUCAAAUGCCCCAGCAAAGCCCUGAUUAUAUUUUCUCCCUGCCUAACAGAUUUAUUGUACACUGUGAACUCCCAAGAGAAAGCUGCGACUGGCUGGACUCGUGAACAGGUCCUUGCACACUCUUGCAAAAGUCUAUUCUUGCUGUCUUCAAAUGCAGUCUGCACUUUACUCCAACCAUAUAAUAACAGAGGAGGCUGGCAGUUUUGAUAACCAGCAAUUGCAGUCUGAAACUGCAGCACUGAGGAAAAACAAGGCAGUAGAAGAAGACAAAGGGCAAAGGUAUGACACCACCGAGGGAGAAUCCAGGAUAAAAUCCCCUCUCAUAUCACGCCGUCCUGUGUUGGCGGACUGUGACCUCAUGCGCAGUUAGCAUGCAGCCGCCUCGGGCUGCUUUGUUAUCUACAAACCAGCA
ensembl:lncRNA